CAGAAUUUUGUCUAACUGUUGGAACCUUGAAAUUGUUUUAAAAUGCACUCUUUUAUAAAACCUUUCCUGUUUACCAUCUGCAGGGUAAUUCAGCAAAAACAGACCAAAAUUAAUUUUUCUUGUAGGCUCAUACCAAGGCAUGUGAAUGGAAGAUUGCAAAGCAUCCUACACUGCCAGAGCAGCUCUUUGAAGAGUUUACCAUUUGAUACAGUUCUUACAAGUGCUGCUGAAGUUGAGCACAAGGCAUCGGAUGGCAAAUCUGGGCCCAUGACCUGGACUGUAAAUUCCACUGGACAGACAGGCACAUCUAGAAUUAUUGCAGCAUCUAUAUCAUUUCUCCAGCCUAACACUUACAGAAUGAGAAGGUAAAUGCACACUGCAGCCUUAAGACACCCUUAAUGAAAAGAUGGAGAAGCCUAUGAGUGUUGGAGUAUUGGACCUGUGUGUUUGCCUAGGACCUAACAGAAAGCACACAGAGGUGCUUGAAGAGAUGGCAAAACUUUGGUGUGCUGAAGAGCCCCCAAGGAAUUUCAAACAUGGUACGACUGAUGAAAGUUUGGAGUCUUCUGGUUUCCUGGCUCCAUCACAGUUAACAUAAUAGUGCCCCUUUGUACCACAGCAGGCAAUAUCCUUUCAUCCUGAAAACAGUAUUUUUGUCAGGCAACACUCGCCUCCUUCCCUAGCAGUCAGGGUAGCUGCGAAGUGCUGCACACUCUGAGCACAAGGUGUUUGUGCAGCUGCUGGUGCCACAGGAAGGCCUGCAAGUGCAGAAAGCCCCAGGGUCUGAAGGCAUAAAAUAUGUUGCACCUGAGUCAGGAGGAAAAAAUAUGAUUUACAGUCCUAAUUUUGACGAGUGGGGCCUCUUCUGCUCUGUUGAGAACGAGCCUCAGAGAAAGCCCUUUUCUGUACUAUUUGAUAAUAAAUUCAUGAACAAAUGUAUGUGUUUCUGAUAA
rnacentral:lncRNA from 1 species